CUACGGACGAUGCAAGCGAUAUCCGGUUUUAUUGGGUUUAAAGGGUGCGUAGGCUGGAAUGUAAGUCUCGGGUGAAAUACUGACGCUUAACUGUAGUAUUGCCUUUGAAACUGCAGUGUUUGAGUACUGUGGAGGGAGACGGAAUGUGGGGUGUAACGGGGAAAAUCAUAGAUAUACCACAGAACGCCGAUUGAGAAUGCAACAUACUAAGCUGUUACUGACGCUGAAGCACGAAAGCGUGGGGAUCAAACAGGAUUAGAUAACCUGGUAGUCCACGCUGUAAACGAUGAUUACUUGUUGUUAGCGAUAUAUAUCUAGUGACUGAGCGAAAGCAUUAAGUAAUCCACCUGGGGAGUACGGCGGCAACGAUGAAACUCAAAGGAAUUGACGGGG
rnacentral:rRNA from 1 species